UUGUGGGCAAAAAGUAAGGUUCAAGAUUAUAUGAUAGUAAUCUUUAUAACUGUGGAAAGGGAGGCAUAAAGAGGGAGAUGCUAAUGGGGUUUUAGAAAGUUGCAGGGUCUUUCUAUGUGAAUGUUUGUUGCUCUUAUGUUAUUUGUUUGUAUAUCUAAAUAGGCUUUUAGCCAGUAGUUUGGAAUAUUUCAUAAUAAUGCCAUCUGUUAUUUGUUUCUUGGUUUUUUUAAACCAAAGGUCACUUGAUCUUGAAAGCUUUAGAAUACUAUUAUGAGUUAGGUCAAUGAAUGGGAGUAAAUUUUUAAAUUUAUAUGUUGUAAGAAACCAUGUGAUAGGCAUUUUAUUUAAAUCUUCUGUACCCCUUAAAUAUUUAACAUUUUUUAGGUUGUUUACCUUCUGUUUCAUAGUACUUUGAACAGUAGAAUUGUGAUUGUUGUUUGCCUUACAUAUUCAAGGCCCUGAGUUUGAUACCUUGUUCUACAAAAGAAAGAUCGUGAUUAGUGAAAUUUACAUAGAGAAUGGCAAGAGUUUGAUUUAGUGUAGCCUGGAUCUGAGUCCUUGCUCUGCCACUUUCUGCGACAGGAGCAUGCAUGGGUGUUUGCCUUUCUGGCCCAUUUCCUCUCUGCAAGAGGAACGACAGGAAUCAGUGAUGCCCAGCAUACAUCUGCUUAAAAGCAGCAGGGAGAAAGGUUCAGUGCCUUGCACCUAGUGGGACUAGACAAUCGCCUCACAGUUAGUACGUGAAGUGGCUCAGUUGUUCGGGAGCAAAUUGAGCUGGCCCAGACAGCAGAGCUCUGUAAGGCAUGUUGAUAUUGAUUGCUUCUUUGUCUCAGGGGCUAUAAGAAAUAUAACAGAUCUCAAAGG